AGGGCACCACCAGGAGUGGAGCCUGCGGCUUAAUUUGACUCAACACGGGAAAUCUCACCAGGCCCGGACACUGGAAGGAUUGACAGAUUGAGAGCUCUUUCUUGAUUCAGUGGGUGGUGGUGCAUGGCCGUUCUUAGUUGGUGGAGCGAUUUGUCUGGUUAAUUCCGAUAACGAACGAGACUCUAGCCUAUUAAAUAGGCUCCCGGCUUUUAAACGCCGGGAGGACUUCUUAGAGGGACAGGUGGCGGUUCAGCCGCACGAAAGAGAGCAAUAACAGGUCUGUGAUGCCCUUUGUUGUCCGGGGCCGCACGCGCGCUACACUGAAGAGAUCAGCGUGCUUUACGUUCCUGCUCCGACCGGAGUGGGGAACCCAGUGAACCUUCUUCGUGAUUGGGAUAGAAGAUUGUAAUUAUUCUUCUUGAACGAGGAAUUCCCAGUAAAUGCGAGUCAUAAGCUCGCGUUGAUUACGUCCCUGCCCUUUGUACACACCGCCCGUCGCUACUACCGAUUGAACGAUUU
rnacentral:rRNA from 1 species